rnacentral:rRNA from 1 species
UACAGAGGGGGCAAGCGUUGUUCGGAAUUACUGGGCGUAAAGAGCUCGUAGGUGGUUUGUCGCGUUGUUCGUGAAAACUCACAGCUCAACUGUGGGCGUGCGGGCGAUACGGGCAGACUGGAGUACUGCAGGGGAGACUGGAAUUCCUGGUGUAGCGGUGGAAUGCGCAGAUAUCAGGAGGAACACCGGUGGCGAAGGCGGGUCUCUGGGCAGUAACUGACGCUGAGGAGCGAAAGCGUGGGGAGCGAACAGG